rnacentral:rRNA from 1 species
GGUGAACGCUGGCGGCGUGCCUAAUACAUGCAAGUCGAGCGAACAGACGAGGAGCUUGCUCCUCUGACGUUAGCGGCGGACGGGUGAGUAACACGUGGAUAACCUACCUAUAAGACUGGGAUAACUUCGGGAAACCGGAGCUAAUACCGGAUAAUAUAUUGAACCGCAUGGUUUAAUAGUGAAAGACGGUUUUGCUGUCACUUAUAGAUGGAUCCGCGCCGCAUUAGCUAGUUGGUAAGGUAACGGCUUACCAAGGCAACGAUGCGUAGCCGACCUGAGAGGGUGAUCGGCCACACUGGAACUGAGACACGGUCCAGACUCCUACGGGAGGCAGCAGUAGGGAAUCUUCCGCAAUGGGCGAAAGCCUGACGGAGCAACGCCGCGUGAGUGAUGAAGGUCUUCGGAUCGUAAAACUCUGUUAUUAGGGAAGAACAAAUGUGUAAGUAACUAUGCACGUCUUAACGGUACCUAAUCAGAAAGCCACGGCUAACUACGUG